rnacentral:rRNA from 1 species
AAAUUGAAGAGUUUGAUCAUGGCUCAGAUUGAACGCUGGCGGCAGGCCUAACACAUGCAAGUCGAGCGGUAGCACAGAGAGCUUGCUCUCGGGUGACGAGCGGCGGACGGGUGAGUAAUGUCUGGGAAACUGCCUGAUGGAGGGGGAUAACUACUGGAAACGGUAGCUAAUACCGCAUAAUGUCGCAAGACCAAAGUGGGGGACCUUCGGGCCUCAUGCCAUCAGAUGUGCCCAGAUGGGAUUAGCUAGUAGGUGGGGUAACGGCUCACCUAGGCGACGAUCCCUAGCUGGUCUGAGAGGAUGACCAGCCACACUGGAACUGAGACACGGUCCAGACUCCUACGGGAGGCAGCAGUGGGGAAUAUUGCACAAUGGGCGCAAGCCUGAUGCAGCCAUGCCGCGUGUGUGAAGAAGGCCUUCGGGUUGUAAAGCACUUUCAGCGGGGAGGAAGGCGGUGAGGUUAAUAACCUCAUCGAUUGACGUUACCCGCAGAAGAAGCACCGGCUAACUCCGUGCCAGCAGCCGCGGUAAUACGGAGGGUGCAAGCGUUAAUCGGAAUUACUGGGCGUAAAGCGCACGCAGGCGGUCUGUCAAGUCGGAUGUGAAAUCCCCGGGCUCAACCUGGGAACUGCAUUCGAAACUGGCAGGCUAGAGUCUUGUAGAGGGGGGUAGAAUUCCAGGUGUAGCGGUGAAAUGCGUAGAGAUCUGGAGGAAUACCGGUGGCGAAGGCGGCCCCCUGGACAAAGACUGACGCUCAGGUGCGAAAGCGUGGGGAGCAAACAGGAUUAGAUACCCUGGUAGUCCACGCCGUAAACGAUGUCGAUUUGGAGGUUGUGCCCUUGAGGCGUGGCUUCCGGAGCUAACGCGUUAAAUCGACCGCCUGGGGAGUACGGCCGCAAGGUUAAAACUCAAAUGAAUUGACGGGGGCCCGCACAAGCGGUGGAGCAUGUGGUUUAAUUCGAUGCAACGCGAAGAACCUUACCUG